GCAAUGGCGGCAGCUACCAUGCAGUCGAGCGGUACAGGAGAAAGCUUGCUUUCUUGCUGCCUAGAGGGGCGGGUGAGUAAUGUAUGGGGAUCUGCCCGAAGAGGGGGAUAACUACUGGAAACGGUGGCUAAUACCGCAUGACGUCUACGGACCAAAGCAGGGGCUCUUCGGACCUUGCGCUAUCGGAUGAACCCAUAUGGGAUUAGCUAGUAGGUGAGGUAAUGGCUCACCUAGGCGACGAUCUCUAGCUGGUCUGAGAGGAUGAUCAGCCACACUGGGACUGAGACACGGCCCAGACUCCUACGGGAGGCAGCAGUGGGGAAUAUUGCACAAUGGGCGCAAGCCUGAUGCAGCCAUGCCGCGUGUAUGAAGAAGGCCUUAGGGUUGUAAAGUACUUUCAGCGGGGAGGAAGGUGAUAAAGUUAAUACCUUUGUCAAUUGACGUUACCCGCAGAAGAAGCACCGGCUAACUCCGUGCCAGCAGCCGCGGUAAUACGGAGGGGUGCAAGCGUUAAUCGGAAUUACUGGGCGUAAAGCGCACCGCAGGCGGUCAAUUAAGUCAGAUGUGAAAGCCCCGAGCUUAACUUGGGAAUUGCAUCUGAAACUGGUUGGCUAGAGUCUUGUAAAGGGGGGUAGAAUUCA
rnacentral:rRNA from 1 species